rnacentral:lncRNA from 1 species
CUAUUCCCGCCCAUGGGUCCUGUCCCUGUGCUUUAAUAAAAUCACCUUUUUUGCACCAGACACAUCUCAAGAUUUCUUUCUUGGUCAUUGGCUCCAAAUCCCAACAACAACACUUCAAAACCACAUCAUAUGUGAUACAAGGGGCAUCUUUUUCGGCUGCAGUGUGUGCACAUAUAGAACUGCCUUGUGACAGCAGAUUAGGGUGACCCAAUCCAUUAUUGGCUGAUCAACUUUUGGAGGUGACUAACAUGAGAGAGGAGGAGAGAUGCCUUGAGCCAUAAAUAAUGCUAUGAGUGGAUUAAAUGAACCUUCCUUACAUCACUCUCUCAGUCCUUUAUCACCAAAAUUUUUCAGCUUGAUCUCUCACCAUGCAUAGCCUCCCCAGUCCCCCUUAGUUACUUACUCAUGGUUGCUUCAAUAACUGUUUUCUUAUACUACUCCUUGGCAAAUUAUAUUUUCUCACCUGUAAAGCUCUUUCUCCUUUCUCUUCUCUGCCCAUGGAAACCUACUCAUUUUUAAAGAGCCAGAUUAUAUGUCACUUCCUCAAAGAAGCCCCAAGUAAAUGUGCACUCAUCUGUAUUCAAACGUAAUCUGGUCAAACCAUUGUUAUAGCACUGACCAUAAUGGGCUGUGAUUACUUAAUUAGCUACCUCUCACACAUUAGAUGGCACACUCUUCAUGGCUUGGGUCGUUGUGUUAUUCCUUGUUAUAUUUCUGCUAUUCCUUUGUCACCUGCCUCUUACACUUGACCCUUGCCAAUAUGCUUCCCAGUGUCUUGCACACCGACGGGCAUAGAGUAGGUGUUCUAUAAGUGCUUAUUGACUGAGCCAGAACGGAUGUGGCCAAUGGAUAAUCAGGAUCUAAUGGGUAGCUAGAUUUAUGUGUGAUGAAAACCCUCCUAAAUAUAAUGCAUAGACCCAAAGUCUCAACUCCCUGACCUUUCAUUUAUGCUGCAAACCGGAGUGCAUGGAUCUUUGUUUACUUUUUUUUUUUUUUAACAUAGUAUCCACUAAGAUCUCAGCCUUACAUUAAUCUGGGAUAUUCAUUCCACCAGCACUUUUGGUAGGAGCUAUAAUUUAUACCACUGAAAAACCUUCCUGUGGCUUCAUAUUCAGAUGUGUAAAAAUACAAAUGACAUUAAACAUUAACUAGGCAAAGAAGUAUGAAUAAAGAGAUUGUACUAUGUAAAAACUUAGAGCAAAAAUUAAGGCUGAAACAUUUCACAAUUAAAACAGGAUGAAAUGAACAAGUGUUACAGGCUGUGUGUUAAUCAGAAAGGACAUAAACCAAACCAGAAGCGUAUUUAUUGCUUAAAAAAUAUUCUCAACUCCCUAAAGCACCUAUAGUUAUUAAUUAUUUAUAAACAACACUAGAAGUGUUGACACUGCAUAUUCCUAUAAAAUGAAACAUAAAAUAAUAAUGCCUCAAUUUUAUACAAUCCCUUCAAGUUAAUGAUACAUUUGACAAAGGAUCCUGUGAAGUUUUAGGUGCGCAGUUAUUGAUGACCAGCCAGAAAUGGCACCUAUUGAGUUAAUAAUACCUCAAUAUCCUCUCUCAUUAAAUAUUCUCUCUUGGACACUAACACCGAAUAAAGAAAAUAUGAAGUGGCUGAUCCAGCCCUGAGAUCUUCUCUUGUCAUGCCACCAACUUACUGAAUGACCAUGAGUGAGGUGUGUAUUUCUCUGGGCCUGAAAUUCCCAACUUAAAGGACUAGAAUAAUUCAUCUUUACUUCCUUUCAGUAAAUAUUCAAUCGUCUCUAUUUUUAAGGUUGAUUCUAUUUGUUUUCCUUCAAUUUGUCCUCCUCACUCAGAAGAACAUGGUGGUUUGAUAAAAACAUGUAAUUUUUUAGCAUUUUUGGUUAGUUGCAAAGUCCAUUUCUUUAAAAACUUUAUCCCUUUUGGUGUUUCCAGCCCCAAGUAAUAGAAAGUCUGACCUCAUGCAAGUAUUAUCUCAUAUAAUAGGACAUGCAAGGUGGGGAUGGGCUUAGGUGAAAGGUAUCAUCAAGGAUCCAGGUUCUUUCCAUUUCUUGCCCUACCCUUCUGGAUGUCAGUCUGUUCUUCAGAUUGUAGUAAGAUGGCUGUCUUGGUACAAUAGAGAAUACAAAGAUCAAACUCAUAACUUCCUAAUCUCCUGGGAGGAUGCCAUCAUUUUCCUCCGAGCAAACAGCCAACAACUUAGCUAAGCAUCCUCUCCUUUCUGUCACAUUAUUAAGGUAGCUUGGCAAGCAGCUAAUGAAGCUAUUGGGUGCCUAGUAGUCCAGUGUGAUGAUAGGAACUGUUAGUCACAGAACGAAAAGAAGUAUAAAGGAAAAUCCACUCAGUCUUUCAUUGUGGAAUCAUAACUAAUACAGAAAAUAAAGUAUAUCUAUUUCAGAGUCUUAAAGCAGGACAGAAACACUCUCCAUGAGGUUAACCCAGCCCUAGAUGAAUCUCCAGGUACAGUGAGACAGUGUUGCCUCAUUCUUACUUAUAGAACAGAACACAUUCCAUGCUUCAGGAUGAUUUCUUUUAUAUGAGUCCAUUAUUGUAGGCUACAGUGACUUUUUACUUGAAGUAAUUAAAGCUCAGUAAGGUAGAAUGCAUUUCAGAUUGCAGUGGGUAAAAACCAAAGGUUACCUGAGAUAUCUAGAAUAAAAUUUUCAGCAAGAGAAACAUGGGAUAAUCCAAAACAUAAUCAUAGUUGCUAUAGUUAAAAUAUAUCAUAUAUCACAUAUGAUAGGGACAGUUCAUCCCCAAAUCCACUGUUCAGAUAUGACCUGAUUUAGUGGUAGUGAGUAUUAUAUUAGGGUGUAAAAAUGGAGUAUGUGAUGAAAUAGUAAUCAUAAUAUCCAGAAUGUAAAGAUUCUCAGAGUCAAGUUUAAAAAACAAAUACUGCCAUAGCACAAUUAUAUUUAACCAGGUCCUUAUCUCAUAUUUCCAACAAUGUGGUACUAACACUCACAUGUAUGCCUCCUGGAGCAUAUUCCUGACAGUUUCUUUGUGUCGGAGAGCUAGUAGUGGAAUUUCGUCUGGGUCAUAAGGUAUGCACAUUUUUCAUUUUCCCAAAUGCUGCCAAAUUACCUUCCAAAAAUGGUUGUACUAAAUCCCACAAGCUGUAUAUGAAAGUUUUUUGUUUCGCUGAAUUCUCCAUAAACACAUGAUAGGAUAAGACAUUCUAAUUUUUACCAUUCUGGUGGAUGAGAAAUGGCACCUCAUUUUUUAAUUCAUUUGCACUUCCCAAAUUCCCAAUGAGAUUAAAUUUGAACACUUUCUUUUAUGUUCUUAGCCACAAUAAGGCUUUCUCCAUCUAAAAAAUACCUACUUGUUCUGUUUGCUCAUUUUUCUAUUGGGAUAUUUUUUAUUUCAUAUGACUUGUUUAUAUAAGUUUUUUCAUACAUAUGUUGGUUCUUAUGGGUUGAUGCCUCUUUAUCCCUUUACACCCAUUUUCUUUUUUUCCAGUUUUAUUGAUGUAUGGUAGAAAAAUUAAAAUUAUGUAUAUAUUUUGGUAGUUCAAUGUGAUUUUUUUGAAGGGGCACAAUGUGACAAUUUAAUAUACCUAUAUAUCAUGAAAUGAUUAGCAAAAUCAAAUUAAUUCAUACAUCUAGUGCCUCAUAUAGAAAUGCAGAUAUCUCUAAAAGAUACUGAUUUCAUUUCCUUUGGAUAUAUACCCAGAAGUAUUGUUGAAUCAUAUGGAAAUUUGAAUUCUCAUUUUUUAAAAAAGACUUUAUGUAUUCAUGAGAGACUCAGAGAGAGAGAGAGGCAUAGACAUAGGCAGAAGGAAAGGCAGGCUCCCUGUGGGGAGCCUGAUGCGGAAUUUGAUCCCAGGACCCUGGGAUCAUGAUCUGAGCCAAAAGCAGAUGCUCAACCACUGAGCCACCCAGGUGCCCCUGAAUUUUCAUUUCUGAGAAACCUCCAAAUUGUUUUCCAAAAUAGCUGUGUGCCAAUUUACAUUCCCACCAACAACAGACAAAGGAUCCCAAAGGAAAUUCCACAUCUUGACCAAAACUUGUUAUCUCUUAGCUUUUUUAUAAUAGCUACCCUAAGUAUAAGGGUGAUAGAUCUCAUUGCGAUUUUGAUUUGCAUUUCAUUGAUGAUCAGUAAUGUUGGGUACCUUUUUACAUACCUGUUGGCCAUCUGUAUGUCUUUUUUUUUUUUUUUUGAAAUAUAUCUGCGAAG